rnacentral:rRNA from 1 species
AACGCUGGCGGCAGGCCUAACACAUGCAAGUCGAGCGAGAACCAUGGCUUCGGCCAUGGGGACAGCGGCGAACGGGUGAGUAACACGUGGGUAAUCAACCCUCGACACUGGGAUAGCCCGGGGAAACCCGGAUUAAUACCGGAUACCCCAUCUGGCCUUCGGGCCGGCUGGAAAAGGUAGCUUUGGCCUCCGGUCGAGGACGAGCCCGCGGCGGAUUAGCUUGUUGGUGGGGUAAAGGCCCACCAAGGCGACGAUCCGUAGCUGGUCUGAGAGGACGAUCAGCCACACUGGGACUGAGACACGGCCCAGACUCCUACGGGAGGCAGCAGUGGGGAAUCUUGCGCAAUGGGCGAAAGCCUGACGCAGCGACGCCGCGUGAGGGAAGAAGGCCUUCGGGUUGUAAACCUCUUUCAGGAGGGACGAAGCCACUCGGGUUAAUAGCCUAGAGGGUGACGGUACCUCCAGAAGAAGCCCCGGCUAACUACGUGCCAGCAGCCGCAGUAACAC